rnacentral:tRNA from 2 species
GGGGACGUAGCUCAGUUGGUAGAGCGCUUCCAUGGCAUGGAAGAGGUCGUCGGUUCGACCCCGAUCGUCUCCA